rnacentral:rRNA from 1 species
AGAGUUUGAUCCUGGCUCAGAACGAACGCUGGCGGCGUGGAUAAGACAUGCAAGUCGAGCGCUCAUUUCAGGGUAGCAAUAUUCUGGAGUGGGAGCGGCGCAAGGGUGCGUAACACGUGGGUAAUUUGCCAUGAAGUUUGGGAUAACUCGCUGAAAGGCGAGCUAAUACCGGAUGUGAUAAUCGGGCGGCAUCGUUUGAUUAUUAAAGUUGGGGACCGUAAGGCCUGACACUUCUUGAUAAGCCCGCGGCCUAUCAGCUAGUUGGUGAGGUAACGGCUCACCAAGGCUAAGACGGGUAGCUGGUCUGAGAGGACGACCAGCCACACUGGAACUGAGACACGGUCCAGACACCUACGGGUGGCAGCAGUCGAGAAUUUUUCACAAUGGGCGAAAGCCUGAUGGAGCGACGCCGCGUGGGGGAUGAAUGGCUUCGGCCCGUAAACCCCUGUCAUUUGCGAACAAACCUUGCUAUUUAAAAGAUGGCGAGCUGAUUGUAGCGAAAGAGGAAGGGACGGCUAACUCUGUGCCAGCAGCCGCGGUAAUACAGAGGUCCCAAGCGUUGUUCGGAUUCACUGGGCGUAAAGGGUGCGUAGGUGGUGGGGUAAGUCGGGAUGUGAAAGCUCCGAGCUCAACUCGGAAAUGGCAUUGGAAACUACCUUGCUCGAGGGUUUGAGGGGGGGACUGGAAUACUUGGUGUAGCAGUGAAAUGCGUAGAUAUCAAGUGGAACACCAGUGGCCAAAGG